rnacentral:rRNA from 1 species
AAACCCCUGAACACUGGGAUAGCCCGGGGAAACCCGGAUUAAUACCGGAUGGCCCAACAGUUCUUCGGGGCGGUUGGAAAGGUAGCUUCGGCCUCCGGUCAGGGACGAGCCCGCGGCGGAUUAGCUUGUUGGUGAGGUAACGGCUCACCAGGGCGACGAUCCGUAGCUGGUCUGAGAGGACGAUCAGCCACACUGGGACUGAGACACGGCCCAGACUCCUACGGGAGGCAGCAGUGGGGAAUCUUGCACAAUGGGCGAAAGCCUGUUGCAGCGACGCCGCGUGAGGGAAGAAGGCUUUCGGGUUGUAAACCUCUUUCAGGAGGGACGAAGCUACUCGGGUUAAUAGCCCAGAGGGUGACGGUACCUCCAGAAGAAGCC